AAUGGGUAUGGUUGGCUGGUUGUAGGCUGGGCUCUAUACACAUUUGACCACCCAAACCAUUGAAAUGCAGAUCAGUACAAGACCCACUGGUUGGGAACAUAUCCAAAAUAGAGAUGGUUUGCUCUGGAGCACUGCAGAGAAAUCUGUGUAGAGACUGAAAGUAGAAAAUGGAUAGAUACAGCUUUGGAACAGGAGAUGGUGAGUUGUAUUGCUGCAAAAAGAAUCUCAGGCGGAUUCCUUAGACCAUUGCUUCUUAAACAUAAACAUGCAUAUAAAUCAUCUGGGAAUCUUGUUAAGAUGCAGAUUCUGAUUGGUAGCUCUGGGGUGGGGCCUGAGACUCUGUUUCUAACUGGCUCCCAGGUGAUGCUGAGGCUGCCCUUUUGAGGACCUGGCUGUGAGUAACCAGAUGAUAAACAACAUAAACAAACCUCAUCACUGUGAGGUCAGCGUGCCUUCAACAGCAAAACACAGUCAAAGGGCAGCCAGAGGUGAGCUCCCUUGGGGUUGUUUUCUUAGGUUAUGAAGCUAGGGUCUAAGAGUAGACCUAAAUACCUUCUGGAAAGAUGCUUCAUGCAAGUCUGAAUAUAAUGGGUCUUUUGAAAUGUUGGGAUUCAAGAAGUUACCAGAAGCCUGCCUUCUCAGCAUGCUGGAGUUGAUGGCUUCUAGAAGGCAACACCUUUCCAGAGAAGCCCCAAUAACAAAGUGGGCUCUUUGCUCCGUUAAGCAUGUGACUGCCUUUGCAGCUGUCAACAUGGGGACCUCCAGUGUUACCUCACAAAAAUAAAGCCAUGUUUGCAGUAUCAUAGUUCCUUUACAAUUUCUUGCAUCUCUAUUCAGGAAAAGAGAGGUCUUACACCUCUGGUAGGAGCUGGGCAAUGUGCGGAUCCCUCUGAAAUUUCUGUGUGGCGCUUGGGAUACCAGCCAGCAGUCAUGUGUUCACAGUCUCCAUCCUGCAGAAGGUAUAAGAACCAGACCUCUCUCUGGAGAUCAGGGCACCAGAAAGCAAUUUCUACUCAUAUAAAUGUUAAGAAAUAAAAUUUUAGCAUACGUUUAAUAAAAAUAAAAUGUUACAUUAUGUCACACCUCA